rnacentral:rRNA from 1 species
GUAGGGAAUAUUGCACAAUGGAGGAAACUCUGAUGCAGCGACGCCGCGUGAGUGAUGAAGGCCUUCGGGUCGUAAAGCUCUGUCGCAGGGGAAUAACACAAUGAAGGUACCCUGUAAGAAAGGAUCGGCUAACUUCGUGCCAGCAGCCGCGGUAAGACGAGGGAUCCUAGCGUUGUUCGGAAUCAUUGGGCGUAAAGCGGAUGUAGGUGGCUAUGUAAGUCAGAUGUGAAAGCCUGGGGCUCAACCCCAGAAGUGCAUUUGAUACUGCGUAGCUUGAGUGUCGGAGAGGUUACUAGAAUUGUUGGUGUAGUGGUGAAAUACGUAGAUAUCAACAGGAAUACCGGAGGCGAAGGCGGGUAACUGGCCGAACACUGACACUGAGAUCUGAAAGCGUGGGGAUCAAACAGGAUUAGAAACCCUGGUAGUCC